rnacentral:rRNA from 1 species
GCGAACGCUGGCGGCAGGCUUAACACAUGCAAGUCGAGCGGGCAUCCUUGUGGUGUCAGCGGCAGACGGGUGAGUAACGCGUGGGAACGUGCCCUUCGGUUCGGAAUAACUCAGGGAAACUUGAGCUAAUACCGGAUACGUGCGAGAGCAGAAAGGUUUAUCUGCCGAAGGAUCGGCCCGCGUCUGAUUAGCUAGUUGGUGAGGUUAUGGCUCACCAAGGCGACGAUCAGUAGCUGGUCUGAGAGGAUGAUCAGCCACACUGGGACUGAGACACGGCCCAGACUCCUACGGGAGGCAGCAGUGGGGAAUAUUGGACAAUGGGGGCAACCCUGAUCCAGCCAUGCCGCGUGAGUGAUGACGGCCUUAGGGUUGUAAAGCUCUUUUCUUCGGGACGAUAAUGACGGUACCGGAGGAAUAAGCCCCGGCUAACUUCGU